ensembl:Y_RNA Y_RNA Y RNA
GACUGGUCCAAGUGCAGUGGUGUUUACAACUACCUGAUUGCAACCGGUUACAGAUUACUUUGUUCCUUCUCCACUCCCACUGCUUCCUUUGACUAGCCUAAA